rnacentral:rRNA from 1 species
AUUGAACGCUGGCGGCAUGCCUUACACAUGCAAGUCGAACGGUAACAGGUUAAGCUGACGAGUGGCGAACGGGUGAGUAAUGUAUCGGAACGUGCCCAGUCGUGGGGGAUAACUACUCGAAAGAGUGGCUAAUACCGCAUACGACCUGAGGGUGAAAGCGGGGGACCGUAAGGCCUCGCGCGAUUGGAGCGGCCGAUAUCAGAUUAGGUAGUUGGUGGGGUAAAGGCUCACCAAGCCGACGAUCUGUAGCUGGUCUGAGAGGACGACCAGCCACACUGGGACUGAGACACGGCCCAGACUCCUACGGGAGGCAGCAGUGGGGAAUUUUGGACAAUGGACGCAAGUCUGAUCCAGCCAUGCCGCGUGCGGGAAGAAGGCCUUCGGGUUGUAAACCGCUUUUGUCAGGGAAGAAACGACUCCUUCUAAUACAGGGGUUAAUGACGGUACCUGAAGAAUAAGCACCGGCUAACUACGUG